AUACUGACCUGGCAGGGGAGAUAACAUGAUCACAAAGGUGGUUUUCCCAGGACAAGGCUUAUCCAUUACACACUGGAUGUGCUGAUCUCUGCGAUUUCCCCAAAUGUUGGAAAUGCAAGUGCAUAAUUUGGAGUCAUGGGGACUGCAUUUGCCCACUCCCCUG